rnacentral:tRNA from 1 species
AUCUUUCUAGUACUAAUGUUAGUAUGAGUGACUUCCAAUCACCUGGCCCUGGUUAGACCCCAGGGAAAGAUA